CCUCAUCCACCCGGAUCCCGUUUCUCCAGGGUUUUGGGGAUGAUUUGGGUGCAGGAGCUCCUCUCCCACCCGGAUCCCGUUUCUCCAGGGUUUUUGGGAUGAUUUGGGUGCAGGAGUUCCUCAUCCACCCGGAUCCCGUUUCUCCAGGGUUUUUGGGAUGAUUUGGGUGCAGAAGGAGCGGGGCGGAGCAGCUCGGGGGAUGAAAACCUGGAAUUCUGAUGCGGAAAAGCCGGGAGAGCCGGAGGGGCACCUGAGGCGUGGCACGGAUCCACCCGGGACAGGGAGGGAGAGCCGGGAAGGACCAAACCCGGCCGGGUCCGGAUCCUCAGGGAGGGAAUUCCAGCCGGGAUUCGGCUUCGGGAGACCGGGGAGGAAGACUCCGAGGAAGGAGAGCGGCCCUGGAGGACCUGCUGCAAGAUCUGAAAAAUGAGCUGGAGAAGAGGCAGGCGAAAAAAAUCCCGGAGAUUUCCCACCAGGAAACCCCAGAACAGGGUCAGGAGGAGAAAAAACAGCAGCAGGAUGUGAAGAGCUCCAUCAGCAGGUGUGGGAAAGUGACUUUCCAGCUGCCCCUGGAUGCGGCUCCUGGGCUGGAAGAGCGAGUUUGUCACUUCUCCUGGAGGAGCAGCGCCCUGAAGGAAACCCUGAGGAAGC